CAGCCGCCGCGGUAAUACCGGCGGCUCGAGUGGUGGCCACUUUAUUGGGCUUAAAGCGUUCGUAGCUGGGCUAUUAAGUCCCUUGGGAAAUCCGACAGCUUAACUGUCGGGCGUCUAAGAGAUACUGGUAAUCUUGGAACCGGGAGGGGUGAGGGGUACUUCGGGGGUAGGAGUGAAAUCCUGUAAUCCUCGAGGGACCACCUGUGGCGAAGGCGCCUCACCAGAACGGCUUCGACAGUGAGGGACGAAAGCUGGGGAGCAAACCGGAUUAGAUACCCGGGUAGUCCCAGCCGUAAACGAUGUGCGUUAGGUGUAUCGGUGACCACGAGUCACCGAGGUGCCGAAGGGAAACCGUGAAACGUACCGCCUGGGAAGUACGGUCGCAAGGCUGAAACUUAAAGGAAUUGGCGGGGGAGCACCACAACAGGUGGAGCCUGCGGUUUUAAAUUGGACUCAACGCCGGAAAUCUCACCGGAUAAGACAGCAGAAUGAUUGCCGGGCUGAAGACUCUGCAUGACUAGCUGAGAGGGGUGGUGCAUGG
rnacentral:rRNA from 1 species